CUCAGAUUCUGGAUUCCUACC
rnacentral:miRNA from 1 species